UCCUCUUGCUCCUCGUUUCCUUAUCUUUACUUCCUUCGUGAGACCUCUCCCUAUCUCUACUCCCUUCCCUCUCGCUUCGCUCGACAGAUCUCCUUCUCUCCCGAGCUCUAUCUCUCUCAUCCUCCCUAUCGUCGCGCCUCGAUGACAGGUGGUGAUCUGAAUCGCGACGCUUUGAAUCUCCAUUGCGAUGGCGGCGUCCGGCUUCGCGUUCCGGCGAACGAUCCGCACUCGAAUCACGAUCGCGAUAGUCCCUGGUGCUCCUGUAUCUCUCCUUAUCCAUGGCGAUUUAGGGUUUCUUCCUCACAUUCCCCUUCGAGUCUUUUAUUAUAACCGAAACCCCUUCCCACAACCGGAAUAAACCAGCGAGUCGUGUAAAAGCAGAAAUCGAUAAAGACUCUCGAAUCAAGUAUUCGCUGACCACUAGUCAAGCUUGCAAUAUGGGCCCAAGCCCAUUUCUAAUUCCUCUUCAAAGUUAUGGGCUUUAAAAUCGUUUUUUCUCUUUGUUAGAAAAUGAAGCUAUUUAAGCUCAAAAUCGAAAUGUAAGAAAAAAACAUGGGGAAUUCGGCCAAAAAAAACCUCAACUUUACACGAAUUGCCAAAACAAACAUGAACUUUGGGGCUGACCAAAAAAACACCAAACUUUCAUUGACUUUAGAAUUAAUUAACAAUAUUUUCGCUGACUUGCCAAUUUAGCACGCCGUCAACAAAUUUAACAGAAAUAUUUGACGUCGUUUAUUGUUGACGUUAAGUGAAACGACGUCGUUUUCAAAUGAGAUGAAACGACGUCGUUUUACAUGAUUUGAAAUUAAAAAUAUGUAAACACCUGGAUUCGAACCCAGGUUGGUUGGUCAAAUGGGAAUAUAUUUUACCACUGGGCUACUGGCACUUUCAAUGUACUUACUAAUAUGUUAACUUUUAUUUGGUACAUAUUAAAUAUAAAAAAUUCUCUAAAAACUUAAUAAGAUCUUUAAAAUUCCAAAAAAUUAAAAAAAUAAAGAAGAUUUUUAUAAAAUUAAUUUAGAAAUUAAAAUUAAAAAUAAAAUUUUAUUUUUCUUUUUAAAAAAUAAAAACUCUUCCAAAAUUUAUUUGGUCUGAAUCGAAGAAAGGUAACUAAGUGGUUCACAAUAAUAAGAUGAUUCAUUGUUACCAUAUUCUAAUAGUAAUCACCCUGGUGCUGAUUACAGAAUAAUACAAACUAUCAGAAGUAAUAGGCGGCAAACUAAUGAGCACACUAAGCCAACAGUCAAAGAGAUCAACAAUUGCAAUAUUAUGUAUACACAUCCAGACGAAAAGAAAUGGGAGAAUAAUUCUAAAUCGAAAUGAUAACCAACAGGAACCUUAGCUACAGUUAUGGUGAUUGUAGUAUGACUUUCAUCCAAUACCCUAGAUGUUACAAGUUUAGUUUGAUAAUUGUAGUAUGACUUGUUCUCCUCAAGGUUAUGCCAUGUUUAGCGUCAUCAGAUAAACAUUGGAAACAAAACAACUCAGCAUCAACAAAAAGGUAAAGUGGGAAGAAUUACGUACCACCACUCAACAUCUGGGAUUAUCUCCUUGGGUUUCUCUUUUCUCGGGGCACGUUCUGAUACCUCGAUCAAAUUUGGAUUUAUAUCAUCCCUGGCCUUAGCCAGAUGCGCUUGCUUCACCUUCAGCUCUCUUGCUUUUGCUUCACCAAAUUGACUCUACAAAUCAAACAUCAAAAUAACACACUGAAACAUCAGCAAAGGCCACCAAGAAUGAAAUGGUUAAAAAGAAUCCAUCAUAGAAAAAGACAACGCGUACCCUCAACUUCAAACUCUCAGCAUCUCUUGUCCAUUUACCUUCCUCAACAAACUGAAAACUCAUACGCUUGGGUCUCAAAAUCUUGUUUUUGUCAAUCCCCAUCCUCGGAUCAAAGUGGGGGUUUUCUUCUGGAUUUACUUCCAGUUGAGGUUUAAGAAUCUGAAAGGCAUCUUUCUUCUGUUUGUUGAUAUUAACCUGUAGAUAUCCAAGUAUAUUAGGAGCUCGAUCAUUAAAAAAAAUACAAAGUUUAGACAUUUAAAUUCACUUUAUUGACCUUUAAUGUACUAAGAUUGCUUGGCUUAGUCACGCUAAUCACAUUUCCAUGUUCAUCUAUCUCCCUUCCAAGGGCAUCCACACGCAGAACAGGAGCCUUUGCAGGUUUCUGUUGAACAGCCAUCGUCUCUGCAGGUGUCUGUCCUAGAAGAUAAUUGAUAAUGGUAGGAAACUCUGGAUCCUGACGGUACCCCAUCCUAGCUGCCACCUCCUGAGCUCUCUUAACAGCUUCAAUGUUGACCUUAUUCCCAAGGCCAGGCAAGACAGCAUGUGGUAAUGCUGAAGCAGAAGAUGUUCCUGCAGAGACAGCAGGAGUGGUAGUCGAUGGUGGCACUCUAGCAUGUGGGCUACCUUCUGAAGCCAACUUAAUACCUUGAUUCGCCUGCGUAAAGAAGAGUUAUCAAACUACAAAGUUCCCUCCAAGAAACAAAUGAUGAAUGCACAGAUCCGGAUAUCUUACCGAAGAAAGUUUCUUAAACCUGUCGGCUAAUCCCUUUCCAAGCUGAAUAGCUUUCUUAGCUUUAGCUAAUGCAUCAAGAGACAAGUUUGAACUACUUUGCCCGGAAGUUCUUCCAUCUGUACUAGAUUUUCCAUGAACCUCAUGAGACCUGACAAUACUCUUAUUUUCAUCCGUUGUGGAUAUUGAAGAUACCUUAGUGAGCAGGGUUUGACUAGGGGCUAAAGACGUUUCCGAAGCUAAAGAACUAUGCGAAGUGACGCCCUGCACAUAGACAAAUAGAUACGAGCUUUUCAAACACCAUUCGAAAUGAAACCAUCAACAAAUCUAUCGAAGCUGAGAAGAAAUAAACUCACAGUGGAGACGUCACUAGCUGCGUUCGUAGCCCUAGAACCCUCACUCACUUGAUCAUUUUUGCUCUCAUCCUCAAACCUGCUUCUCCUCUCACCACCACCACCACUCCCAUCAGAGAACCUAGAUCUCUUCUUCCCUUCCUUAUUCCCGUUCUCCUCCUCUCUCUCUUUCCUCUUGCUCCUCGUUUCCUUAUCUUUACUUCCUUCGUGAGACCUCUCCCUAUCUCUACUCCCUUCCCUCUCGCUUCGCUCGACAGAUCUCCUUCUCUCCCGAGCUCUAUCUCUCUCAUCCUCCCUAUCGUCGCGCCUCGAUGACAGGUGGUGAUCUGAAUCGCGACGCUUUGAAUCUCCAUUGCGAUGGCGGCGUCCGGCUUCGCGUUCCGGCGAACGAUCCGCACUCGAAUCACGAUCGCGAUAGUCCCUGGUGCUCCUGUAUCUCUCCUUAUCCAUGGCGAUUUA
rnacentral:lncRNA from 1 species